UGGUGCCAGUAGUCAAACUGCGCAGCCUCCGUUAUGACCAGUCAGUAACUGUUGGUGAAGAGUGGGGGAACGGUUCACUUUUCGGUGAGGAGGUGAUGCAGAAAUGAUUUAAAUGAAGAUGGACUCUGCUAGGGUGUGAAUCACUUGGAAUAACGAGUAAUUGAAGACACCAAGAUUCCUGCAGACUUCCUCACCAAUUUGCAGGACAUUUUUUUCAGGUUUACUUUAUGUAUAUAAUUGUGGUUGACAAAUAAAACUUGGAUUCCCGAAAUUUGGAU